GGAGAGGGAGAGGGGGGUCUCCAACCUUGUCCACUUUAAGCCUGGCGGACUUCAACUCCCAGAAUCCCCUAGCCGGCAAAGCUUACAAUUCUCGCGAGAGGCGUGUGCACAACUGUAAUGUGUGGCAUGAGGCAUCUUAAUUUAUUUCACUGUAACGUAAGCCAAGGUCAUCUUUUGUCUCCGU